rnacentral:rRNA from 1 species
UGCGUAGGCGGCGUUAUAAGUCAGAUGUGAAAGCCCACCGCUUAACGGUGGAACUGCAUUUGAUACUGUAGUGCUUGAAUCAGGCUGAGGUCAGCGGAAUGUGUCAUGUAGCGGUGAAAUGCAUAGAUAUGACAUAGAACACCAAUUGCGAAGGCAGCUGACUAGACCUGUAUUGACGCUGAGGCACGAAAGCGUGGGGAGCGAACAGGAUUAGAUACCCUGGUAGUCC